rnacentral:rRNA from 1 species
CUGGGUUAGUCGGGUCCUAAGCUGAGGCCGACAGGCGUAGGCGAUGGAUAACAGGUUGAUAUUCCUGUACCACCUAGUAUCGUUUUAAUCGAUGGGGGGACGCAGUAGGAUAGGCGAAGCGUGCUGUUGGAGUGCACGUCCAAGCAGUAAGGCUGAGUGUUAGGCAAAUCCGGCACUCAUAAGGCUGAGCUGUGAUGGGGAGAGGAAAUUGUUUCCUCGAGUCGUUGAUUUCACACUGCCGAGAAAAGCCUCUAGAUAGAUAACAGGUGCCCGUACCGCAAACCGACACAGGUAGUCAAGAUGAGAAUUCUAAGGUGAGCGAGCGAACUCUCGUUAAGGAACUCGGCAAAAUGACCCCGUAACUUCGGGAGAAGGGGUGCUCUUUAGGGUUCACGCCCAGAAGAGCCGCAGUGAAUAGGCCCAAGCGACUGUUUAUCAAAAACACAGGUCUCUGCUAAACCGUAAGGUGAUGUAUAGGGGCUGACGCCUGCCCGGUGCUGGAAGGUUAAGAGGAGUGGUUAGCUUCUGCGAAGCUACGAAUCGAAGCCCCAGUAAACGGCGGCCGUAACUAUAACGGUCCUAAGGUAGCGAAAUUCCUUGUCGGGUAAGUUCCGACCCGCACGAAAGGCGUAACGAUUUGGGCACUGUCUCAACGAGAGACUCGGUGAAAUCAUAGUACCUGUGAAGAUGCAGGUUACCCGCGACAGGACGGAAAGACCCCGUGGAGCUUUACUGUAGCCUGAUAUUGAAAUUCGGCACAGCUUGUACAGGAUAGGUAGGAGCCUUUGAAACGUGAGCGCUAGCUUACGUGGAGGCGUUGGUGGGAUACUACCCUAGCUGUGUUGGCUUUCUAACCCGCACCACUUAUCGUGGUGGGAGACAGUGUCAGGCGGGCAGUUUGACUGGGGCGGUCGCCUCCUAAAAGGUAACGGAGGCGCUCAAAGGUUCCCUCAGAAUGGUUGGAAAUCAUUCAUAGAGUGUAAAGGCAUAAGGGAGCUUGACUGCGAGACCUACAAGUCGAGCAGGGUCGAAAGACGGACUUAGUGAUCCGGUGGUUCCGCAUGGAAGGGCCAUCGCUCAACGGAUAAAAGCUACCCCGGGGAUAACAGGCUUAUCUCCCCCAAGAGUUCACAUCGACGGGGAGGUUUGGCACCUCGAUGUCGGCUCAUCGCAUCCUGGGGCUGUAGUCGGUCCCAAGGGUUGGGCUGUUCGCCCAUUAAAGCGGUACGCGAGCUGGGUUCAGAA